rnacentral:tRNA from 1 species
CGUAGCUCAGUGGUAGAGCACAACCUUGCCAAGGUUGGGGUCGAGAGUUCGAAUCUCUUCG